rnacentral:rRNA from 1 species
ACACCGCCCGUCACACCAUGGGAGUCGGAAAUGCCCGAAGUCUGUGACCUAACCGAGAGGGAGGAGCAGCCGAAGGCAGGUCUGAUGACUGGGGUGAAGUCGUAACAAGGUACC